rnacentral:rRNA from 1 species
CAUCGCCAGGGAACUACGAGCCAAGCUUAAAACCCAAAGGACUUGACGGUACCCCACAUCCACCUAGAGGAGCCUGUCCUAUAAUCGAUAACCCCCGCUUAACCUCACCAUUUCUAGUUAAAUCAGCCUGUAUACCUCCGUCGUCAGCUUACCUCGUGAGCGAAAUUUAGUGAGCUUAAUGUCUCUACAUCAAUACGUCAGGUCAAGGUGCAGUAAAUGAAAUGGGAAGAGAUGGGCUACACUCUCUAACCUAGAACAUACGAAAGACUAUAUAUGAAACCCUAGUCAGAAGGCGGAUUUAGCAGUAAAAAGGAACCAUAGUGUCCUUUUUAACCCAGCACUGGGGUGUGUACAC